CAAGUUAUAUUUUAGUAAUGGUUGUUAUUUACAAUAAUGAUUUGAUUGUGCGAUUCAGUCUAGCUUGA
rnacentral:tRNA from 1 species